CUGUAUGGCAAUAUCACUAUUAAUAACAAUGUCACGCGACCGGAUGUUACGGUUCCACUGAUGGAUUGUGGGAAGUCAAAGUUUCAGUGUCCUUGUGCUGUGUCGGCACCUCAACCUCUUCGUUCAACAAAACAAAGUCUGCCAAAAUGUACAGACAGCUUAUGGUAAGAAAGACGCUAAAUAAGAGAUUUAUUUUGAAAUGUCUAAGUUUGGUUCUUAUUGUUCUGUAUUUUUUUGUUCCUUCUUGUGAACUUUGUUUGGUUUUGAGUGAACUAACGGACCUUGGAUAAACUUUCGGACUUACAUGAGUUAGACAUGAGUCAGACAACACUAUAAAGGUGUAAAGGGAAACAAAUUUAUCUCAUUUCAGUGACUUGGACACACUGCUCUUUUUUAUUACGCUGUUACAAAAUUUUACUGUUCCCGAAUCAAUUAAGAUUCAUGGAAGCAUCGCUUCAACCAACAAGACAACUUCUAUAAAACGAGAUUUUAUAGACAUACAGUAUACAUUGUCCAUAUUAAAUUCUACUUCUAUUUAAUCAUAUACUCAAAGAUGAAAUCAGUGAUUUGACCUCUAUAUUACAGUUACAUAUGUCUGCUGUCAUACUAACCCUGUCAUGCAAAUGUAUUACACAGACCCGGCCAGCAGAUGUCUCCAUUUUGACUGAAACGCUUUGAAAUAAGAAACUAUAUUUAGAGCAGUUUCAUUAUGUGGUCCAGUGGGAUGGAGGAAAGAUUCAAUGAAGUUUUUAAGGCCAAAAUCAGUACCAUUAUAGAAACUUUUCAAACGACGUCUGUUAUAAAACACUUUGUCAUUUGUCACACUCUCUUGUAUCAUUUCUCAUAUUGUUGGUACUCAACUCAACUUUAUUUGUAAAGCACUUUAAAACAACCAAAGCUGAAAAAAGUGCUGUACAUAAAUAGACAAAACAACGCAGACAUAAAAAAAAUCAAAAAACAGUUAAAACAAUGUAUAAAAUAAAAGCGGAUAUUAAAAAAAAACUUAUAAAAACUAAUAAAAAAAAAAGAAGAAGAAACAAAUAACUAAAAACAAACCAUAAAACACUAAAACAGGAGCCGAGUCUCAUGCAGGGUUGAAAGCCAAUGAAUAAAAAUGGGUUUUAAGACGAGUUUUAAAAAUGGACAGUGUUGGGGCUUGUCUGAUUUGGAGGGGUAGGUAAAAAAGAGUCAUCCCCUCUGAGCUUCAGUUUGGACCUUGGUACCUCCAGGAGCAGCUGAUCAGCUGACCUGAGGCACCGAGCAGGGGUGUAGGGGUGGAGAAGCUCAGAGAGGUAAGAUGGAGCCAGACCAUUUAAAGAUUUAAAAACAAAAAAAAGAAUCUCAAAAUGAACUCUAAAAUGCACAAGUAGCCAGUGGAGGGAGGCCAGGAUGGGAGUUAUGUGCUCCCUUUUACGUACUCCAGUUAAGAGGUAGUAGUGGUAGAGGAAGUAAGGUGUCAUUGUCAUUGGUGUUUUUUUUUUCUUUUGUUAUCAAAUAUAAAAUGUAACUGGCUGUACCAUAUAAUCCUCAGUCAAUUAUUGUUCUCACCAGGGGCUUCAGCGGCUGUCCAGGCGGACUUUCUCCAGCAGUGCUCGCAGACAGAUAGAUAACACUGUGAAAGACAAACAAAAACUUUUUCAGGUGGGGUGAAUCUAUUGAAAAACACAGCAUAUAGUCUCUUGAGUUACAGGUCUUUUAUUGCAGUGUGACUCUUGAUUUCUGAUGCUUGUCAUAACAAGUACGAGGGAGAGUUUUUCCUGAACAUAAGUGUGAUUUAUACAUAUUUAUUUACACAAAACAGUGUACUUUACUGUGGAGGUAUUGUAAUAUCAAGAUUUGAAAAACUUUGAUGUAAAUUUUGAAAAGUAUUGUAAUAAGUGGGAACCUUUUUUUAAAGUAGUUAUAUGCCUGCUUGAGUUGUGUUUCUUUGAACUUUGUUUUCUUUCAUCUGUGUUUCAAGUGCACAGAGAAUGAGACCUUUCUGUACAGAUAAUGAUAAUGUUAAAGUUUCUACUCUGUUCCCAGGUUCUGCAGACAGAAUCUAAUUAUAUCCUCUUUGUAGCCUGACAGAUAAGUAUGAGUGGGUUUCUCUAUAACUGUACAAUGAUAUUCGGCUGUAGUUGAAACUGGAAUUACACUAAUAAUGCUUGCAAGCAGCUAAUUAAAAACCCAUUGCAAAAACAAAGUUCCAAUGUGGUGGGCUUUGCUGAUCCCGGCAUAGCGCAAGAAAUUGCUGCAGCUAAAUUAGAUAGAUGGCCUACCCAUGCCUCAUAGUCAAAGAGCAAGCACUGCUUCAUUGCGUAGUGUCCUUAUGCCACCCCCUAAGUGCUGUGGUUAAAUAGAGAUGAGCUUGACAAAAAAAUGGAAUACCAGAGAAAGUCCUAAACAGAAAUAUAGAAAUGUAUAGGUCCCUUGCACUCAUUAGAACUUUAUUUUUUUUUCCACAAAUUGAACAGGAGGACAAUGGUAUACCUAUUCAUCUGAAGGGCGGGACGAAGGACGCCGUGCUCUUCAGAACCACGAUGAUGCUCACUGCGUUUGGUAAGCCAGCAUUUGUCUGAGAUUUGAUGAGUCAGGAGAACUACAGAUGUCUCUGUCUGUGUUUCUGAAAAAGAAACAUUUCAUACCAGUGACUUGACCAUAGAUGUUAUUACUGAAACUCUCAUUGAAAGUUGAAUAACUGUAAUUUCACAACGCAUCAUCGAGGGUUGUUUGAAGUCAUGACAAUUAGCCUGUGUUGUAUCUCAGUCACAUCUGUAGUGCUUGUUUGAUCUCUUUGCAGGGAGUGGAUAUGUUGUGUAUGAGCUGUUCACUGCUGCGAUGCCCAAGAAACCACAGUGAAACAGCAUCAACAAAGUGGAUUAUACAAUGUGGUGCAACAAGCUCACAUUAGCUGUAUGUAUGACCUGACCUCAUGUGCAGACAAGGAAUUAUUUGUCCUAUCAAGAUCAUUAUUUUUGAUUGUAUAAAAGUUAAUAUUUAUCAACUUUGUAAAAAUAAAAACUACAACUCUAUGAAUUGUGUGAUUUUGAAAACUCAAAAUGGACUGAAUGAACAUGUAUUUAUAGCUGCUGUAAGUCGUUGGUGUCACCGCUAGGGGGCACCAAUAACUAAUCCAUCAGAAGAGCUGUAAUUGCAGCAGAGUGAAAGUGGACUUUAACGAAAACAUUUUGCUUUUUCUGUGUAUAAAAUAUUGCAUCAUGAUCAUGUCUUUUUUUUUAUUAUUAAAGUCGUCAGUUAAAUUGGA